UUCGGGGUACGUGCGGCGGGGAAUCAGCGUGAGGUCUCCCUAGGUGGGGGCAACCUUCGGAACCAUGGCUAACCCACAUAUCGUCGAGAGAUGAAUGCCCCUCGCCUGAGGAAGCGCCCGCGUUGAACAGCUAGUUGGUGGGGUAUCUGCUUACCAAGGCGACGCCCAGUAGCUCGUUUGAGAGGAUGCCCAGCCACACUGGGACUGAGACACGGCCCAACUCCUACGGGAGGCAGCAGUGGGGAAUUUUUCCGCAUGGGCGCAAGCCUGACGGAGCAACGCCGCGUGAGGGAGGAAUGUCUGUGGAUGUAAACCUCUUUUCUCCGGGAAAAAAUCCGACGGUACCAGAGGAAUCAGCAUCGGCUAACUUCCGUGCCAGCAGCCGCGGUAAAGACGGAGGAAUGCAAGCGUUAUUCCGGAAUUUAUUGGGCGUAAAGCGUCCGUAGGCGGUUAUUUUAAGUCAGUUUGUUAAAGAAUUGCAGCUUCAACUGUGGGAAAGCAACUGAAACUGAAUGACUAGAGUAUGGUAGGGGUAGAGGGAAUUCCUAGUGUAGCGGUGAAAUGCGUAGAUAUUAGGAAGAACACCAGUGGCGAAAGCGCUCUGCUGGGCCAUAACUGACGCUGAUGGACGAAAGCUAGGGGAGCGAAAGGGAUUAGAUACCCCUGUAGUCCUAGCUGUAAACGAUGGAUACUA
rnacentral:rRNA from 1 species